rnacentral:rRNA from 1 species
UGACCGUAAACGAUGUGGACUUGGUGUUGGAAUGGCUCCGAGCUGCUCCAGUGCCGAAGGGAAGCUGUUAAGUCCACCGCCUGGGAAGUACGGUCGCAAGACUGAAACUUAAAGGAUUGGCGGGAGCACCACAACGCGUGGAGCCUGCGGUUUAAUUUGGAUUCAACGCCGGACAUCUCACCAGGGGCGGACAGCAGAAUGAUGGCCAGGUUGAUGACCUUGCUUGACAAGCUGAGAGGAGGUGCAUGGCGUGUGACUGU